UUAAAUUGAAGAGUUUGAUCAUGGCUCAGAUUGAACGCUGGCGGCAGGCCUAACACAUGCAAGUCGAACGGUAACAGGAAGAAGCUUGCUUCUUUGCUGACGAGUGGCGGACGGGUGAGUAAUGUCUGGGAAACUGCCUGAUGGAGGGGGAUAACUACUGGAAACGGUAGCUAAUACCGCAUAACGUCGCAAGACCAAAGAGGGGGACCUUCGGGCCUCUUGCCAUCGGAUGUGCCCAGAUGGGAUUAGCUAGUUGGUGAGGUAACGGCUCACC
rnacentral:rRNA from 1 species